rnacentral:piRNA from 1 species
UAAAGUUUUCAUUUACGUUUU